AAAUUGAAGAGUUUGAUCAUGGCUCAGAUUGAACGCUGGCGGCAGGCCUAACACAUGCAAGUCGAACGGUAACAGGAAGCAGCUUGCUGAUUUGCUGACGAGUGGCGGACGGGUGAGUAAUGUCUGGGAAACUGCCUGAUGGAGGGGGAUAACUACUGGAAACGGUAGCUAAUACCGCAUAACGUCGCAAGACCAAAGAGGGGGACCUUCGGGCCUCUUGCCAUCGGAUGUGCCCAGAUGGGAUUAGCUAGUAGGUGGGGUAACGGCUCACCUAGGCGACGAUCCCUAGCUGGUCUGAGAGGAUGACCAGCCACACUGGAACUGAGACACGGUCCAGACUCCUACGGGAGGCAGCAGUGGGGAAUAUUGCACAAUGGGCGCAAGCCUGAUGCAGCCAUGCCGCGUGUAUGAAGAAGGCCUUCGGGUUGUAAAGUACUUUCAGCGGGGAGGAAGGGAGUAAAGUUAAUACCUUUGCUCAUUGACGUUACCCGCAGAAGAAGCACCGGCUAACUCCGUGCCAGCAGCCGCGGUAAUACGGAGGGUGCAAGCGUUAAUCGGAAUUACUGGGCGUAAAGCGCACGCAGGCGGUUUGUUAAGUCAGAUGUGAAAUCCCCGGGCUCAACCUGGGAACUGCAUCUGAUACUGGCAAGCUUGAGUCUCGUAGAGGGGGGUAGAAUUCCAGGUGUAGCGGUGAAAUGCGUAGAGAUCUGGAGGAAUACCGGUGGCGAAGGCGGCCCCCUGGACGAAGACUGACGCUCAGGUGCGAAAGCGUGGGGAGCAAACAGGAUUAGAUACCCUGGUAGUCCACGCCGUAAACGAUGUCGACUUGGAGGUUGUGCCCUUGAGGCGUGGCUUCCGGAGCUAACGCGUUAAGUCGACCGCCUGGGGAGUACGGCCGCAAGGUUAAAACUCAAAUGAAUUGACGGGGGCCCGCACAAGCGGUGGAGCAUGUGGUUUAAUUCGAUGCAACGCGAAGAACCUUACCUGGUCUUGACAUCCACGGAAGUUUUCAGAGAUGAGAAUGUGCCUUCGGGAACCGUGAGACAGGUGCUGCAUGGCUGUCGUCAGCUCGUGUUGUGAAAUGUUGGGUUAAGUCCCGCAACGAGCGCAACCCUUAUCCUUUGUUGCCAGCGGUCCGGCCGGGAACUCAAAGGAGACUGCCAGUGAUAAACUGGAGGAAGGUGGGGAUGACGUCAAGUCAUCAUGGCCCUUACGACCAGGGCUACACACGUGCUACAAUGGCGCAUACAAAGAGAAGCGACCUCGCGAGAGCAAGCGGACCUCAUAAAGUGCGUCGUAGUCCGGAUUGGAGUCUGCAACUCGACUCCAUGAAGUCGGAAUCGCUAGUAAUCGUGGAUCAGAAUGCCACGGUGAAUACGUUCCCGGGCCUUGUACACACCGCCCGUCACACCAUGGGAGUGGGUUGCAAAAGAAGUAGGUAGCUUAACCUUCGGGAGGGCGCUUACCACUUUGUGAUUCAUGACUGGGGUGAAGUCGUAACAAGGUAACCGUAGGGGAACCUGCGGUUGGAUCACCUCCUUACCUUAAAGAA
rnacentral:rRNA from 1 species